GAUGAACGCUGGCGGCGUGCCUAAUACAUGCAAGUCGAGCGAACGGACGAGAAGCUUGCUUCUCUGAUGUUAGCGGCGGACGGGUGAGUAACACGUGGAUAACCUACCUAUAAGACUGGGAUAACUUCGGGAAACCGGAGCUAAUACCGGAUGAUAUUUUGAACCGCAUGGUUCAAAAGUGAAAGACGGUCUUGCUGUCACUUAUAGAUGGAUCCGCGCUGCAUUAGCUAGUUGGUAAGGUAACGGCUUACCAAGGCAACGAUGCAUAGCCGACCUGAGAGGGAGGUCGGCCACACGGGAACUGAGACGCGGUCCAGACUCCUACGGGAGGCAGCAGUCGGGAAUCUUCCGCGAUGGGCGAAAGCCUGACGGAGCAACGCCGCGUGAGUGAUGAAGGUCUUCGGAUCGUAAAACUCUGUUAUUAGGGAAGAACAUAUGUGUAAGUAACUGUGCACAUCUUGACGGUACCUAAUCAGAAAGCCACGGCUAACUACGUG
rnacentral:rRNA from 1 species